rnacentral:rRNA from 1 species
GAAUCUUCCACAAUGGACGAAAGUCUGAUGGAGCAAUGCCGCGUGAGUGAAGAAUGUUUUCGGAUCGUAAAGCUCUGUUGUAAGGGAAAAACACGUACGGGAGUAACUGCCCGUACCUUGCCGGUGCCUUAUUAGAAAGCCACGGCUAAAUACGUGCCAGCAGCCGCGGUAAUACGUAAGUGGCAAGCGUUGUCCGGAAUUAUUGGGCGUAAAGCGCGCGCAGGCGUUCCUUUAAGUCUGAUGUGAAAGCCCACGGCUCAACCGUGGAGGGUCAUUGGAAACUGGGGGACUUGAGUACAGAAGAGGAAAGCGGAAUUCCACGUGUAGCGGUGAAAUGCGUAGAGAUGCGGAGGAACACCAGUGGCGAAGGCGGCUUUCUGGUCUGUAACUGACGCUGAGGCGCGAAAGCGUGGGGAGCAAACA